GCUGAGACAAUUCAUUUUGUGCACAUUUAUUUGUGUUUCCUGGUUGGCAAAGAUUCUGUGUUUGUUUUCUUUCUGUGCUUACAAGAGGCCUGGUACCUGACAACCUGAGAAUGGCACAAUAUCUGUCCAGAUGGCAGAUUUGUUGCACAGAUUGCACAUUUGUCUCUGGUCUGAAUCAUUUGUUUGAGGGUGUGUGAUGGCACAAAUCUAUGGCAAAGUUGCUCUAUGGCUACACAAGAAGCUACAUCUAAGUGGUCAAAUGUAAUUAAGAACAGUGUACAGAUUGCAACUGAACCCAUCAGAAAAUACCUGCUGAACACAGUCCAGGAACAUCUGAAUGAAGAUGGAACCAUCAGGAGAUACACAUUUGGAAAAAAGGACUCCCAAAAAAGGAAAUGGGCAAUCCUAAUCAUGGGAGAAACAGGAACAGGACAGUCUUCACUCAUCAAUAUUAUGGUCAACUACAUGCUGGGGGUAAAGUGGGAAGACAAAAUCAGGUUUGAAAUCAUUCCAGAUGAAGGCACAAGACCCCAAACUGUAUCUCAAACCAGUCUGAUUACUGCCUAUGAGAUUUAUCGGCUGGGGGAACUGCCUGUUCCUUUUUCACUCACAGUCAGUGAUAUUGGAUUUGGAGACACAGGUGGGCUUGAGAAUGAUCAAAGAGUUUCUCUGAAUCUCUACAAGUUAUUUAAUUCCAUAA